AUUUCCUAUAGGAAAUAGAUAAAUCCUGUAGUAAUCAUGAUUAGAGGGGAAUUUAUUUUAGCAUUGUAGCACAGUGAGCCAUUAGGUGCCCUGAUAAACUUCUAAUUAUAGUUCUUCACAAAUCUUGAGGCUGUCCUCCAAUACCCACCUGAGACUGUUUUCUGCCACUCAAACGAGUUGGAAAUAUAGUCUAUUUCUGCUUUACAUUUCCUUAUUGUUUAUCUGG
rnacentral:lncRNA from 1 species